GCCAGAUCACACAUCUGAGUGAUCUGGCUUGCCGUCCAGGUGAUUUAAGUGCCAAUCUUGAUAAAGGUCCGCAUAAGGACCGAAACGUCGAUGAAAUACGGCAUCAACAGUGAACCCGAAUAAAAAUAUACUGAAUUUACAA